GACGAACGCUGGCGGCGUGCCUAAUACAUGCAAGUCGAGCGGAGAUUAGAAGAAGCUUGCUUCUUCUAAUCUUAGCGGCGGACGGGUGAGUAACACGUGGGCAACCUACCUUGUAGAUUGGGAUAACUCCGGGAAACCGGGGCUAAUACCGAAUAAUCCAUUUCGCUUCAUGGCGAGAUGUUGAAAGACGGUUUCGGCUGUCACUACGAGAUGGGCCCGCGGCGUAUUAGCUAGUUGGUAGGGUAAUGGCCUACCAAGGCGACGAUACGUAGCCGACCUGAGAGGGUGAUCGGCCACACUGGGACUGAGACACGGCCCAGACACCUACGGGUGGCUG
rnacentral:rRNA from 1 species